AAUGAACGUUGGCGGCGUGGAUUAGGCAUGCAAGUCGUACGGGAGUAGCAAUACUCCAGUGGCGAAAGGGAUAGUAACACAUAGAUCAUCUGCCCCCUGGUCGGGGAUACCGUGCCGAAAGGCACGUUAAUACCCGAUGAUUUCUCCGGAACAAAGGUGUGAUUCCGCCCGGGGAUGAGUCUAUGUCCUAUUAGUUUGUUGGUGGGGUAAUGGCCUACCAAGACUAUGAUGGGUACGAGGCGUGAGAGCGUGACCUCGAUCACUGGGACUGAGACACUGCCCAGACACCUACGGGUGGCUGCAGUCGAGAAUCUUCGGCAAUGGACGAAAGUCUGACCGAGCGACGCCGCGUGUGUGAUGAAGGUCUUCGGAUUGUAAAACACUGUAAGUUGGGAGGAAGUGCAUGGGGGCAAUCCCCUGUGCUUGACCUAUCUUCAAAGUAAGGACGGGCUAAGUUCGUGCCAGCCGCCGCAGUAACAC
rnacentral:rRNA from 1 species